rnacentral:rRNA from 1 species
GAUGAACGCUAGCGGCAGGCUUAACACAUCCAAGUCGAGGGGUAUAGGUUUUCGGACCUAGAGACCGGCGCACGGGUGCGUAACGCGUAUGCAAUCUACCUUUUACAGAGGGAUAGCCCAGAGAAAUUUGGAUUAAUACCUCAUAGUAUAAUGAUUCGGCAUCGAGACAUUAUUAAAGUUCCAACGGUAAAAGAUGAGCAUGCGUCCCAUUAGCUAGAUGGUAAGGUAACGGCUUACCAUGGCGACGAUGGGUAGGGGUCCUGAGAGGGAGCUACCCCACACUGGUACUGAGACACGGACCAGACGCCUACGGGAGGAAGCAGUGAGGAAUAUUGGUCAAUGGGCGCAAGCCUGAACCAGCCAUGCCGCGUGCAGGAUGACGGUCCUAUGGAUUGUAAACUGCUUUUGUACAGGAAGAAACACUGGUUCGUGAACCAGCUUGACGGUACUGUAAGAAUAAGGAUCGGCUAACUCCGUGCCAGCAGCCGCCGUAA